UACAGAGGUCCCAAGCGUUGUUCGGAUUCACUGGGCGUAAAGGGUGCGUAGGUGGUUGGGUAAGUCUGAUGUGAAAUCUCCGGGCUCAACCCGGAAAUGGCAUUGGAUACUAUUCGGCUAGAGGGUUGGAGGGGGGACUGGAAUUCUCGGUGUAGCAGUGAAAUGCGUAGAUAUCGAGAGGAACACCAGUGGCGAAGGCGAGUCCCUGGACAACACCUGACACUGAGGCACGAAAGCUAGGGGAGCAAACAGG
rnacentral:rRNA from 1 species